UAUGGCCACAUCACAUUGAAACACCAGUUCCCGUAUGAUUACCAAAGCUAAACAAUGUCAAGCCUUAUCAGUAACUAGAUGGGUGACCACUUGGGAAUGCUAGGUGUUGUAA